rnacentral:rRNA from 1 species
GCUGAGUGGCAAACGGGUGAGUAACACGUGGGUGACCUGCCUUCGAGUGGGGGAUAACGUUCCGAAAGGGACGCUAAUACCGCAUAACAUCCUGUCUUUUAAGAGAUGGACAUCAAAGUCUGGGACCGCAAGGCCAGACGCUUGAAGAGGGGCCCGCGCCUGAUUAGCUAGUUGGUGGGGUAAUGGCUCACCAAGGCAACGAUCAGUAUCCGGCCUGAGAGGGCGAACGGACACACUGGGACUGAGACACGGCCCAGACUCCUACGGGAGGCAGCAGUGGGGAAUUGUUCGCAAUGGGCGCAAGCCUGACGACGCAACGCCGCGUGGAGGAUGAAGAUCUUCGGGUCGUAAACUCCUUUCGAUCGAGACGAAUGGCCCUCGAGUUAAUAGCUUGAGGGAAUGACGGUACCGAGAGAAGAAGCCCCGGCUAACUCCGUGCCAGCAGCCGCGGUAAUACGGGGGGGGCAAGCGUUGUUCGGAAUUACUGGGCGUAAAGGGCUCGUAGGUGGCCAACUAAGUCAACCGUGAAAUCCCUCGGCUUAACCGGGGAACUGCGUUUGAUACUGGAUGGCUUGAGUUUGGGAGAGGGAUGCGGAAUUCCAGGUGUAGCGGUGAAAUGCGUAGAUAUCU